AGUGAACGCUGGCGGUAGGCCUAACACAUGCAAGUCGAACGGCAGCACAGUAAGAGCUUGCUCUUACGGGUGGCGAGUGGCGGACGGGUGAGGAAUCCAUCUGCAUCUACUUUUUAGUGGGGGAUAACGUAGGGAAACUUACGAUAAUACCGCAUACGACCUACGGGUGAAAGCAGGGGAUCUUCGGACCUUGCGCGAUUGAAUGAGCCGAUGUCGGAUUAGCUAGUUGGCGGGGUAAAGGCCCACCAAGGCGACGAUCCGUAGCUGGUCUGAGAGGAUGAGCAGCCACACUGGAACAGAGACACGGUCCAGACUCCUACGGGAGGCAGCAGUGGGGAAUAUUAGACAAUGGGCGCAAGCCUGAGCCAGCCAUACCGCGUGGGGGAAGAAGGCCUUCGGGUUGUAAAGCCCUUUUGUUGGGAAAGAAAAGCAUCAGGUUAAUACCCCGCUGUGCUGACGGUACCCAAAGAAUAAGCACCGGCUAACUUCGUG
rnacentral:rRNA from 1 species